AACGAACGCUGGCGGCGUGCCUAACACAUGCAAGUCGAACGAGAAAGCACUUCGGUGUGAGUAUAGUGGCGCACGGGUGAGUAACACGUAGGUGACCUACCGAUUAGUGGGGGAUAACCCGAAGAAAUUCGGGCUAAUACCGCAUAAGCAAGACAAAUUUGAAAGUAGUCUUGGAAAGGAAUGCCUCUGUAUAUGCAUUUGCUGAUUGAUGGGCCUGCGGGACAUUAGUUUGAUGGUGGGGUAACGGCCUACCUUGACUUCGAUGUCUAGCGGAUCUGAGAGGAUGAUCCGCCACACUGGAACUGAGACACGGUCCAGACUCCUACGGGAGGCAGCAGUGGGGAAUAUUGCGCAAUGGGGGAAACCCUGACGCAGCAACGCCGCGUGAGUGAGGAAGGCUUUCGGGUCGUAAAACUCUGUCAAUGUUGAAAAAUGGUAUAGGGUCCAAUAGGCCUUAUAUUUGAUGGUAAACAUAAAGGAAGCACCGGCUAACUUCGUGCCAGCAGCCGCGGUAAUACGAAGGGUGCAAGCGUUGUUCGGAUUUAUUGGGCGUAAAGCGCGCGCAGGCGGAUUAAUAAGUCAGAUGUGAAAUCUCGGGGCUCAACCCCGAAACUGCGUCUGAAACUAUUAAUCUAGAGUCUCGGAGAGGGAAGGGGAAUUUCUCAUGUAGGGGUAAAAUCCGUAGAGAUGAGAAGGAACACCAGAGGCGAAGGCGCCUUCCUGGACGAGUACUGACGCUGAGGGCGAAAGCGUGGGGAGAAAACAGGAUUAGAUGCCCUGGUAGUCCACGCCGUAAACGAUGUGCACUAGUUUUAGGUGGUAUUGACCCCCUCAGGGACGCAGCUAACGCAUUAAGUACUCCGCCUGGGAAGUACGGUCGCAAGACUAAAACUCAAAGGAAUUGACGGGGGCCCGCACAAGCGGUGGAUUAUGUGGUUUAAUUCGAAGCAACGCGCAGAACCUUACCAAGGCUUGAAAUCCAGAGAAUCCGCCCGAAAAGCCGGGGUGCCCUUUGGGGAAUUCAGUGACAGGCGCUGCAUGGCUGUCGUCAGCUCGUGUUGUGAAAUGUUGGGUUAAGUCUCGCAACGAGCGCAACCCCUAUCUUUAGUUGCCAGCAUUAAGUUGGGCACUCUAGAGAGACUGCCUGGGUUAACCAGGAGGAAGGUGGGGAUGACGUCAAGUCCUCAUGGCCCUUAUGCCUAGGGCUACACACGUGAUACAAUGGUCGGCACAAAGGGACGCCAACCCGCGAGGGGGAGCAAAUCUCAAAAAGCCUAUCUCAGUCCGGAUUGAAGUCUGCAACUCGACUUCAUGAAGUUGGAAUCGCUAGUAAUCGCGAAUCAGCACGCCGCGGUGAAUACGUUCCCGGGCCUU
rnacentral:rRNA from 1 species